ACUCUUUAGCGUUUGGGUGAAAUUUGAUUUACCUAGUCGGGCGAUUAGCCAGACUGAAAUUUAUUGAACGGG
rnacentral:sRNA from 1 species